UGGGUGCCCGCGAGGGAGGCCCUAGCACAGGUGCUGCAUGGCCGUCGUCAGCUCGUGCCGUGAGGUGUUGGGUUAAGUCCCGCAACGAGCGCAACCCCCGCCGUUAGUUGCCAGCGGUUCGGCCGGGCACUCUAACGGGACUGCCCGCGAAAGCGGGAGGAAGGAGGGGACGACGUCUGGUCAGCAUGGCCCUUACGGCCUGGGCGACACACGUGCUACAAUGCCCACUACAAAGCGAUGCCACCCGGCAACGGGGAGCUAAUCGCAAAAAAGGUGGGCCCAGUUCGGAUUGGGGUCUGCAAUUCGCCUGCAUGAAGUCGGAAUCGCUAGUAAUCGCAGGUCAGCAUACUGCGGUGAAUACGUUCCCGGGCCUU
rnacentral:rRNA from 1 species